AGGGUUUGAUCCUGGCUCAGGAAGAACGCUAGCGGCAGGCCUUAUACAUGCAAGUCGAGGGGCAGCAUUUACUUCGGUAAAUGGCGACCGGCGCACGGGUGAGUAACGCGUAUGCAACCUACCUUUAACUGGGGCAUAGCUCGAGGAAACUCGAAUUAAUUCCCCAUAGUACAUUAUAAUAUCUCAUGAUAUAAAUGUUAAAGAUUUAUCGGUUAAAGAUGGGCAUGCGUCUGAUUAGUUUGUUGGUAAGGUAACGGCUUACCAAGGCUACGAUCAGUAGGGGGUCUGAGAGGAUGAUCCCCCACACUGGUACUGAGACACGGACCAGACAUCUACGGAUGGCAGCAGUAAGGAAUAUUGGGCAAUGGGCGCAAGCCUGACCCAGCCAUGCCGCGUGCAGGAUGACGACCCUAUGGGUUGUAAACUGCUUUUAUAUAGGAAGAAAAUACUCUUGCGAGAGGAUCUGACGGUACUAUAUGAAUAAGGACCGGCUAACUCCGUGCCAGCAGCCGCGGUAAUACGGAGGGUUCAAGCGUUUUCCGGAUUUAUUGGGUUUAAAGGGUGCGUAGGUGGUUUAUUAAGUCAGUGGUGAAAUCCUGCAGCUCAACUGUAGAACUGCCAUUGAUACUGGUAAACUUGAGUUUGGUUUAGGUAAGCGGAAUUUAUGAUGUAGCGGUGAAAUGCAUAGAUAUCAUAAGGAACACCAAUAGCGAAGGCAGCUUACUGGUCCACAACUGACACUGAGGCACGAAAGCGUGGGUAGCGAACAGGAUUAGAUACCCUGGUAGUCCACGCCGUAAACGAUGCUCACUCGAUGUUAGCGAUAUACUGUUAGCG
rnacentral:rRNA from 1 species